rnacentral:rRNA from 1 species
AUUGAACGCUGGCGGAAUGCUUUACACAUGCAAGUCGAACGGCAGCACGGGGGCAACCCUGGUGGCGAGUGGCGAACGGGUGAGUAAUACAUCGGAACGUGCCCAGUCGUGGGGGAUAACUACGCGAAAGCGUAGCUAAUACCGCAUACGAACUCAGGUUGAAAGCGGGGGAUCGCAAGACCUCGCGCGAUUGGAGCGGCCGAUGGCAGAUUAGGUAGUUGGUGGGGUAAAGGCUCACCAAGCCGACGAUCUGUAGCUGGUCUGAGAGGACGGACAGCCACACUGGGACUGAGACACGGCCCAGACUCCUACGGGAGGCAGCAGUGGGGAAUUUUGGACAAUGGGCGCAAGCCUGAUCCAGCCAUUCCGCGUGCAGGAUGAAGGCCCUCGGGUUGUAAACUGCUUUUGUACGGAACGAAACGCGCCGGGUUAAUACCCUGGCGUAAUGACGGUACCGUAAGAAUAAGCACCGGCUAACUACGUGCCAGCCGCCGCCGUAAGAC